AUGGAAACCCAAGUGGGUGGGGCUGGAGGAUUUGUCGCCCUGUUGGCAGCUGGAGAUCACUUGUAGAGUGUAUUAGCCGUUCCCUUUCACUCCCGCUAAGGGACAGACAGAUGGUAACUCACAUUAUGGAGGAAACAGAACUGGGAGACACUACUGUCGGGAUGUGGAGACAUCUCCUCCCUGUACUGCUCAUCUGGGUCCCAGGUGUGGGCUCAGCGUAUGUGGAGCAGCUGCCCUUCCUUACUGGGGGCCAAGGACACUCCCUAGUUCUGCAGUGUACACUCAAACAGCCCAACUGUGACAGGAUGUUCUGGUACCGGCAGCGGGAAGGCAGGGAGCUGGAGGGGCUCUUCUACUCUUAUGGAGACCAAUUGGUGAACUUCACAGCCGAGCUCUUGACAGCCCAGAGGAGCAAGAAAAACUGGGACCUAAAAUGGAACAAACUUUCACGGUCAGACUCAGCUGUGUAUUACUGCGCCUGCAGCACUGCACAGUGACACAGAGCCCUGAGACAGCCAGCAAAAUCCCAGAGAGACAGAGAGAGGGGAGGAAAUAGAGGGAGCUCUGUGUGCUUAGAUGUUGGAAGGACAAUGCAGGGAUGUACGUCCACGAUGAAGUGACUAGAACAUACAUUGUCUCCAGAAGGAGUGUAAGGAUCAUCAGGAACCCCCACACCAGAUCAGUGACCACGUUGCACACUUGAGAUGUAAUUGGCUCUAUUAAUAGCAAUGGGAGUUUUGCCCUAAUGGGAUUAGGAUUUCAUCGGUCUCUUGAAAUUGGACAUUGAUCACUAUUGCUAACACUUUUCUUUCUUCCUUGACAUUUUCUUCUAUUUCUUUCCUAUUCUCCCUCAUUCUCACUAUUCCCUUUGCUCCAGCUCUCUCAUUUUCCAUUGCUUUCUCUUCAUUUUUUCUAUUUCUUUAAAUUAAACCCGCACAUCCAGUUGCUGACCCCAACCCUCGCCCUGUGGUUUGGUCUCACUGUGUCUCUGGGGACUGUUCUUACCUGACUGUAAUGCCUUAUUCACAUGAUUGCUGAGCCAUGGAUGUCUAAGCAGGGGAAUAUGGAGUAAGAGCAGGGAGGUGGUAUUAGCAAUGCUGUAUACAGAGAUGUGACCACUAGUGGAUUUGCCUGCCUAGUUUGGUGCCCACAAUUCAACAAGGAUGAUGAUAAAUUGGUGACGAUUCAGAGAAGAGCCACGAGAAUGAUUAAAGGAUUAGAAAACCUGCUUUAUAAUGAUAGACUCAAGGAGCUCAAUCUUAACAAAAGAAGAUUAAGAAAUGACUUGAUUACAGUCUAUAAGUACCUAUAAUGGGGAAAAUAUUUGAUAAUGGGGUCUUCAAUCUAGCAGAGAUAGGCAUAACCUGAUCCAGUGGCUGGAAGUUGAAGUUACAUAAACUCUGACUGGAAUUAAGCCAUAAUUUUUUAACAGUGAGAGUAAUUAACCCUUGGAACAAUUUCCCAGGGGUCACGGUGGAUUCUUCAGUGCAGCACUGCAAAACAGGAUAGUCUGGACAAGGUGCAUUGGUGUACUGUGUUCACACGAAAUUCUCACUGUUUUCUAGGAGAUGGCACGCGCCUGAGUUCCUCAAGGUUUAGCAAUUCCUUCUACUGUCCAGGGGACAGAGCGGUUCCACUCAGUAUGGGAGUGUCACACACAAACAGCAAGCAUGCUGAGCUAGCACAUUUAUCAAUAGUAUUACCACUGGUCACGCCUAUUUACUACUACACUCGUCCUCUCCCCACCCCCAGGCUCUGCAACCCCCGUUCCUCCCAGAUACCUCCCAGUGAGGAUGCUGACAGGACAUAGAGUUGCUGCAGCUCCUCUCUCUGCUAAAGGGGCUGUUGGCCACUGCCCUCUCAGGUGAGACCGGCAGAUAGGUGGAGCAGUCACCCGCCUAUUUCACAGUGAGGCCAAAAGUGUCACAGUCAGUGACCUGCACCUUGAAGGACAUGACCUAACUCUGGAUGAGCUGAUAUCAGCAGG